rfam:Gorilla gorilla gorilla genomic chromosome, chr6, whole genome shotgun sequence
GGGGGUAUAGCUCAGUGGUAGAGCGUGUACUUAUCAUGCACGAGGUCUUGGGCUGAUUCCCCAGUACCUCCA